GCGAGGGUGGCCGAGCCUGGCCAAAGGCGGCGGGCUUAAGACCCGCUCCCGUAGGGGUCCGCGCGUUCGAAUCGCGUCCCUCGCA
rnacentral:tRNA from 5 species